UACGUAGGGUGCAAGCGUUGUCCGGAAUUAUUGGGCGUAAAGAGCUCGUAGGCGGUUUGUUGCGUCGGCUGUGAAAUCCCGAGGCUCAACCUCGGGUCUGCAGUCGAUACGAGCAAACUAGAGUGUUGCAGGGGAGACUGGAAUUCCUGGUGUAGCGGUGAAAUGCGCAGAUAUCAGGAGAAACACCGGUGGCGAAGGCGGGUCUCUGGGCAACAACUGACGCUGAGGAACGAAAGCGUGGGGAGCGAACAGG
rnacentral:rRNA from 1 species